CCCUCCCCUUAGAAAUGUUGCAGGUGUGGCUGCUGUGUCACAUGUGCAUCAGUAGGAGAGGCAGAGAGGAGAGAGGCUAUGUCUAUACUAAGUGUUCUGACCUAUGAACAUCUGAAUGACUAGAAGUCUAACAGU
ensembl:snoRNA Gm23126 predicted gene, 23126